rnacentral:lncRNA from 1 species
CUCAAUUGGGAAUUUAGGGUUUUUUUUUGGUAGGGCUUGUAUUUUAGAAAAAGGGUUUUGAUUGAUCAGAUCAUGAAGAUUGGUUUGUUGAGUUGGGAGAGUAAAGAAUUAAAACCCUAGCCUCCAAAAUAUCUUCAAUCAAUCAACCGAUAGUUAGUGUUUGUUUCUGAUCUGCAAUGGCCCGUACAAAGCAAACCACUCGUAAAUCCACCGGCGAUAAAGCUCCCAGAAAACAACUCGCCACCAAGGCUGCUAGGAAAUCUGCUCCCACCAACAGAACAAAUAAUUAUUAUCACUCAAAGUCCGGUACAAAGAGAACCCCGAUCUUACUUAUGAAGAGGCUAAUAGUUGCUACUUGUGCAGGUCUAAACAUUUACAAUAAACCAUAUCAACCUAAUAUUAAUACUCAAUCACCGCUAUCAAGAAUCUUAGUUCAUAAUAUAUAUUUUGGUAGCAACAGUGUGUAUUUUAUGUUUGCAUAAUACAACUAGUUUAUAUGUUAUUUCAAAUAUUAGUUGAUGCUUUUAAGUUUAUCAUACCAUUUUGAUAUGUAAAAAAA